rnacentral:misc_RNA from 1 species
CGCAUAUUGCGCCCUUUGGUAUUCCGAGGGGCAUGCCUGUUCGAGCGUCAUUAUCACCCCUCAAGCUCCUGGCUUGGUGUUGGGCUUUAGUCAUUGCAUGGCCAAUGACUGGCCCCGAAGAUAGUGACGGCGUCCCAGAAGGAACCGGUACGAGGAGCUUUUAGCGAAGCAUGUACGCGGGAAGAUUCUGCGGACGACGGUCUUUUUAAUUAUACCUUUUUAAGUGUUGACCUCGGAUCAGGUAGGAAUACCCGCUGAACUUAA